GCCGGUGUAGCUCAACUGGUAGAGCAACUGACUUGUAAUCAGUAGGUUGGGGGUUCAAGUCCUCUUGCCGGCAUCA
rnacentral:tRNA from 2 species